rnacentral:rRNA from 1 species
UACGUAGGGGGCAAGCGUUGUCCGGAAUCAUUGGGCGUAAAGCGCGCGUAGGCGGCUAGAUCAGUCUGCUGUAAAAGUCAAAGGCUCAACCUUUGAAAGCCGGUGGAUACUGUCUAGCUAGAGUCCGGAAGAGGCGAGUGGAAUUCCUGGUGUAGCGGUGGAAUGCGCAGAUAUCAGGAGGAACACCAAUAGCGAAGGCAGCUCGCUGGGACGUUACUGACACUGAGGCGCGAAAGCGUGGGGAGCGAACAGG